UCCGUUUUGUCAACGGCAGUCCAUCCAGAGUGCUCGGCUUUAUCCGUUAGCAACUGAAUGUAGGGGUUGCGCUCGUUGCGGGACUUAACCCAACAUCUCACGACACGAGCUGACGACAACCAUGCACCACCUGUCUCCCUGUACCCCGAAGGGUUAAGCGCACUUUCAUGCGCGGUCAGGGGAUGUCAAUCCCUGGUAAGGUUCUUCGCGUUGCGUCGAAUUAAACCACAUGCUCCACCGCUUGUGCGGGCCCCCGUCAAUUCCUUUGAGUUUCAGUCUUGCGACCGUACUCCCCAGGCGGGGUGCUUAUUGCGUUAACUACAGCACUGAGGGGGUCGAUACCCCCAACACUUAGCACCCAUCGUUUACGGCGUGGACUAC
rnacentral:misc_RNA from 1 species